GUGGCCCCUGGGGUUGUGCAGU
rnacentral:miRNA from 1 species